ensembl:lncRNA
AUGGUUGCCAUUCCUUUGCUUGUUAUAUUGGCCACUGGUGCUGUGUUGCUUAUCUUCUGUUAUAACCACACGAUCAAGCAAGUUGAGAUGCCUUCAGCUUUGGAUUUUCCUAAGUACCAGCACCCAACGUACCUGCUGAAAUUUAAUGAAAGGGAGUUGACCAUACAGAAAGUCAACUUUAUUCUGGAACCGAAUAUCACACCUGCCCUGUCAACUCUUUCAGUGGAUUCUUUAUCAAAAGAAAGUGAAGACAGCGAGGAUGAGGAUGAUAGUAGUAGCCACAUUCCUUACACAAAAACUCUUCGAUUCCAGAAGAAGGAUGAAAACUGCUCAACGGUUGGCACUUUUCCAACAUGUUCCGGCUCUUCUUCUGGAUCUGGAGAUUCUCAGCUAAGUGGAGAAAGCUGGCCAGCUGCAACAAUGUCAAAGCCCUUUUUUACAGCAGAAUGGAUGACAACGGAUGCUUCUUCGGGACUCUUAGAGAAGACUUUCCUUUCUGAGGACUCCAUUAUGGAUGAAUCAGUUAGCUUUGCAGAUGACUUCUCAGCUCCUAGUAGAGAAGGUCAAGAAAUUACAAACAGAGAUGUCGACUUUUUGAACCAGUUAAUAUUAUCAGAAAGUCACGACUUGUGCUUUUCCACAGGUUUGGAAAUUAGAACUGGAGGAGUCCAAUGCAGAAGCAUUUGUGCAAGUCUAGAAAACUCACAGACAUCUCUUUGUAGUCAGCCUGAAAGGCAGUUUAUAGAAGAAUGGAGAUGUGAAAAUGACUCUAACAAUCAUGAGUCUGUCUGGCAAGAAACAUCUCUGCUUGAGGUGUCUUGUAAAGACAGGGUUGAAAAUGGAGAACAGGUUGAAAACAACACUCUGAAAUCUACAGGCCACAAUUAUCAACCCAGACAAGGACAUUACAUUUCAAGAACCUGAUGCCAGUUACUGGUAUGUAUUCUAAGAGUUAGAGAAGAUCUUGCCAUGAUUUUUCUAAAAGAUCCUUUGGUGGGAGUUGUACUUUAAAAAUCUCAGUCAAAUUCUGUUUGAAAUCAGAAUGAACCAAACAGGACAGAGAUUAUAGUUACAUUCUAUUUCUAGUUGCCAUAUUCUUCCAUUACAUCUUAUUCUACAAAACAAAACAAAGCAAAACUGAACUUUCCUAAGUGAAAUUCCAUUGAGAUUGAAAACCGGAACAGUGGUGUCCAUUAGUGAUUUUGUCAUGGAAAUUAGAAUUUUCCUAUGGAGAAUUGGAAUUCUUGGAAAAAUGAGUGUUGUUUCCCGACUGACUAUUGGGAUGUUCAGCUAAAAAAUAUCAUAUUUUGGAUAUCCAUAUCCAUUUCUCCAUUUGUGAAUAGUUGGAUAUGUUUUCCCCAUUUAUUUUAGUCUUUUUUUGAACAGUGAUUUCUAAUCAGAACUGUAACUAGCCAUUUGCAAGUCUCUUUAGUGUCCACAAAUUGGUUUAAGCUUGCUGACACCAAUAUGUGAACAAAUAACAGUUCAGUCUGAGAUCAAGAAUUGAGAACAGGAAAUACAGAAGGUUCUUGUGGAAGCAUUAAGGAUUGCAUUAUGUGAGCUAAUCCAGACUGGUGCUGUUCUUUUAAGGUGAAAGGCAUAGUUUCUAGAAUUGAGGAAGAGAUAAAGAUAAUAUCUCCCUCUUUUAGAGAAAGUUCUUUCAGCCUCAAACUAGGCCUUAAUAACCUUUUUUUCAUCAACUCAUUGCAAAGGCAAAAAAGAAAUGUCAGAUAUGCUCUUUAUUGUGCAAUUGUAUGCACACAAACUUGGAUCUAAGUUUAUAUUGAAGUGAAAUACCAAUAAAGGAAAAUACCUGUAGCUAAGGGUUGAAAUUAGGGGGUCCUUGGUGUUCUCUGAGCUUGUUUUGUUUUCUUGCAGGCAUUUCAUCACCCAACUAGAUAACAUCAUCAGUGCUAGUGCUGCUAGUACUGCUAAAUGCUAGGGAUGUUAUUACUGAUGACGUUACCUAGUUUGAGCAAUGAAAUGCCUGCAAGAAAAAAAGCAAUCUCAGAGAGCACCAAGGACGCCUAACUGUGAAGUAUUUCAAACCAAGAGCCGCUCUUAGAUUCUAAAUAUUAUUAUAAAAUGUCUUUGUGUUUUAUGCCUUCAUUUACAUCUCAUAUUGAGAUUGCCAUGUUGUGUCUCUCAUUGGUUGGGGCAACAAAAUUCAUGGACCAUUGUAGUUCAGAGUUGAACUAUAACUCUUUGGUGCCCUGUAAUACCGGAAGUGAUGAAACGGGCCUAUAAUUCGGCCUGAAAAGCCUUGCAGAGGCUUUUUCCAAGCCUAUGGGAGGCCGAAAAAGGCCUCAAAGCAGCCGAAAAAUCAGCUGAGGUGCAGUGCAGGUUAGGGAGUGGGGAGAAUUGCACUCACAUGCACAAGAGGCGUGGGGAGGGGGGGGCGCACAUUGCAUUCUGGGUGCUGGCAUUCAAGUGCAUGUGCGCUGGUGCGUGCGCAAUUUUUGGCACAGGAGCCCCAAAAGGUUAGCCAUCACUACCCUAUUGGGUGUCCUCUAGAAGUUUUGAUCUCUCAAAGUUCCCCAGUUAACCUGUCUAAAAGAAAGUCGAAGGAUAGCCAGGUUGGAGACGUAGCCCAUACACACUUACGGCAUUUUAACAGAAUUUACUUAAGGGAUUUUAUUGCAAUAAAAUUUUACGUGCAAAUAUGUAUUUCUAUUAACUCUUGAAAUCCCUCUUACUGACACUAUUGGCUUGCUUCAAUGGAGCAAUAGUUUCUUCCUACACGAAUUGGCUGGCAACUAGCCUUUAUGUCUUAAACGAGACAGUAUUAUUAAGUUAACCAAACCUAAGUUCAUUGAUAAAUACGGCUGCAACUAGAACUCCGCAUGGACUUUCCCAAUGUUGCUGCUGAAUGGGGAGAUGGGGCAAUGAACUUCUCUUGAACCCAAGUUCCCUUCUCAAUUCAGGACUUCAGUUAUAAUUGUAGAAGAUAAGGUUGAGGGUGGGUUCACCCUCAAAGCAAUAUUUCUCAACCUUGGCCAUUUUAAGACUCCCAACACUGGAGCUCCAUCACUGGAGGACAACCAUUUGUCUGAAGUGACAUAGGGUUUCCUGCCUCAGCAGAAGGUUGCACUAGAAGACCUCCAAGGUUCCAACUCUAUUAUUUUGUUAAAACUUUGACUCCCACAGCAAGGCUGGCAGGGGAAUUCUGGGAGUUGAAGUCCACAUAUCUUAAAGUGGCCAAGGUUGAGAAAACACAGGUCUAAAAGGAAGUAUUGGCCUUCAAAGGCAUUAGAGUAGCUUUUCCUAUUGAUUUUGAAGAAAGUUUUUCAGAGGGGGAGGCUCCCACUAGAAUCAAAGCCCUACAGCCUUUACCUAGGUGAAAUGUAGGUGCUUCCAUACAUUCCAUAAUUUCAUAUUUUGUGCUCAUGAAUAUAACUUGGGGAACAAACUGCCUAUAUUAAUUUUCUAAAAUGCACUAAAAACACUCCCGUGCACUAAAGGGAGUUCUUUGAGCAGGUUGAUACAAAAUAAAAGAGUCCUCAUAUUUCCAGUGAUUUAUUUUUGUACAUCGUUCUUCUUGUUUAUGUAUAUGCACUUUGGUUAAUUUUAUA